AUUGAACGCUGGCGGCAGGCCUAACCCAUGCAAGUCGAACGAGUGGAGGACGGGUGAGUAAUGUCUGGGAAACUCCCUGAUGUAGGGGGAUAACCACUGGACACGGUAGAUAAUACCGCAUACAAUAGAAGGUGCCCAAAUGGGAUUGGCUAGUAGUGGGGGUAAAGGCUCACCUAGUGGACGAUCCCUAGCUGGUCUGAGAGGAUGAACAUCCACACUGGAACUGAGACACGGUCCAGACUCCAACGAGAGGCAGCAGUGGGGAAUAUUGCACAAUGGGCGCAAGCCUGAUGCAGCCAUGCCGCGUGUAUGAAGAAGGCCUUAGGGUUGUAAAGUACUUUCAGCGGGGAGGCGUUACCCACAGAAGAAGCACCGGCUAACUCCGUGCCAGCAGCCGCGGUAAUAC
rnacentral:rRNA from 1 species